rnacentral:rRNA from 1 species
UACGUAGGGGGCAAGCGUUGUCCGGAUUUAUUGGGCGUAAAGAGCGUGUAGGCGGCCAUACAGGUCAGCUGUGAAAACUCGAGGCUCAACCUCGAGACGUCGGUUGAAACAGUAUGGCUAGAGUCCGGAAGAGGAGAGUGGAAUUCCCGGUGUAGCGGUGAAAUGCGCAGAUAUCGGGAAGAACACCCGUGGCGAAGGCGGCUCUCUGGGACGGUACUGACGCUGAGACGCGAAAGCGUGGGGAGCGAACAGG